rnacentral:rRNA from 1 species
UACAGAGGUCCCAAGCGUUGUUCGGAUUCACUGGGCGUAAAGGGUGCGUAGGUGGCAAGGUAAGUUUGAUGUGAAAUCUCCGGGCUUAACCCGGAAAUGGCAUUGAAUACUAUCUAGCUAGAGGUUUGGAGGGGGGACUGGAAUUCUCGGUGUAGCAGUGAAAUGCGUAGAGAUCGGAAGGAACGCCAGUGGCGAAAGCGGCCACCUGGCCCAAUACUGACGCUGAGGCACGAAAGCGUGGGGAGCGAACAGG